CUGCGGUUACAUAAACCAGUACAGAUAUAACACGGUUCUCUACAGGUGAACAACAGGACACAGGUUGGACGGCAUUCCCAUUUCACAAUGACUCAAAAACGACAAAACCUUGUGACAGCAUACCACCAUUGCAUUCCACUGUUGGCGUGCCUCUGAAGUUAAGCAGGGUUGGAUGGGAGACCAGAUGCUGCUGGAAGUGGUGUUGGAGGGCCGAGCAGUGGCGACCAGUCAUAUUUUGUAUUUUUGUGUGCCACAAGUGUUUGCAAACAAUGGAAAAAAAUAAUAAUUACGUUAAUAAAGCGGCAUACAAAAAACAUGA